UUCUGUGAAGCUAUUUUGUUCGCGAUUGCAACGGCAGGCGCCCUGCCAAUUAGGAGCUCAUUAUAGUAAGCAAAUCAUAACCUUUUAUUCCCUAUUACCCGACACCUGAUCACCUCCCCUGUUUCCUCAUUGGCUGAGUACUACAGGUUCACAAGCUACUCGACGCUCCUCUAUACCAUAUAUGUACAAUUUUUUUCUUCAACCCCUUAAUUUCUCCCUUUUCCUUUUUUUUUUUUUUUCCCUUUCUUAUGUUUUGAGAACUUGUUAUCUUUAUUUUACUGUUCCCACACUGCUCAUCCUGUUUUUCUCAAGCUUCCACCUUGUUUUGGAAGAGUGAGGCCUUCUACUGUCCACUUACCUACUUAGCAUUUCUUCUUGUUAUGACUACACAGCUACCUUUGAAUAGAGAAAAUUAGUUCUCUACUGCAAAAACACAACUUAGUUUCUCACAAUUGCUCCCUGUUCUUUUCUUA